rnacentral:lncRNA from 1 species
ACGGCCACGGCCACGUCGCGGCGGAGCAUCUGGGCCCGGCUUCAUGUAGUUGUUCUUCACAAAUAGGAGCUGCCCGGUAGCCUUCAUCUUGUUGAGGUGAUGAGAAAGAAGGGUUGAAUGGGCCGGUGGUAGAUUUCCAUAGGUGACCUCAAUCUGCUUUGAAAUUGCUGAUUUGUUAGAGCCAUCCUUAUCAUUCAACGCCUCGAUCGCAUUCAUAAUCAACUGUUAAAAAACAAGGGUUUGAAUUUCAGCACAAAUUGGGAGUUUAAAGAUUAUACGUGGAAUUUUACCCCAAUUUUACACAGUGACUAGAAAAUUAUAAUGUAGGUUCAAAAUUCAAAAAUAGACCCACAAAGGAAAACUAAAAAUCCAAACAAUUACACAGUAAAAUUCACCAAAAAUCUUUAAAUUUUAAAGCACACAAAAUUAAUCAACCAACCCAACAAAAAAACAGAAGGGUCUAGCUCUGUACCUCUGGAUAUUGAGGCAAAGCGGCAGGAUGUGCACCCGUAGCUACAGCCGGCGCCGGAGACGGUGGCUGUGCAUGAUUAGCAGGUAGUAAAUCGUUACUCUGCUGUUCUUCAGCCGCCAUAUCUAUAAAACCCGAAUACUUGAAACAGAAAAAUUCGAAUUAUAUAGAAAGAAAGAGAGAAUUUUGAGAGGGAAAAUAUUUUCAGGAGGUGUGAACUGUGGAGCAGAUGAAAUUUAGAUGCAGAAAAUUCAGUGAAGUGAAGGGAUUUAAAAAGGUAAACAGAUCGAAGCAGAAUCGUGUGAGCAAAAACGAAGAAGAGGAUAGAGUGUUUUUUGGAUUACAUCAACGGGUAGGGAUUCUUCGUUUCAACUUUAUCUGACGGCUUAAAAUUAUUUUCAUCAGAUUCACUUGGAUUGAUGACGUGGCUGAUCAUUCCUUAUCUUAUUUUCAAGUUUUUCGGGUGGUUGAAUUACCAUAUUACCCUUGGAACCCCAAUAAAUUUCUCAGGCAAUUUGAAAUUUUGGGAGGUAAUCCUCUGCUGGAGUCCAUGAAACUCUGUGCUACGUAUCAAAAUAUAAUUGGCUUAAGUAUCAAAGUGUAAGGUUCCGCCAUUCAAAAGCUUGAAGUGGGACCUACUGGUAAAGAAGAGCAGGGAUUUGUUUAUAUACACCUCAGGAGCACGGUAUUAAAAUUUUGGAGUAGGGCCCACAUGCAGUGGAUGAUCAUGAUGGCAUCAAGAGUUGCAUUUUGUUGACCUUUUUACUGCUAAGGUUGUGAUGUUCACUUUUAUUACCAAUGAGAAUAAUAUUCUCUCAUAUUAUUUCAAUUUCUAUUUAUUUUUUAAGAUUUAUGAGAUAUUCCUAACAUAGGAUAAUAAUAUACUCAUGUCCGUAACCGUUCACAAUAAAGAAACAAGAUAUAUAUCAACGAAAAUUUAUUGAAAUAUCUUUUGAGUAGUAGUUAUAUGUAUCUAAAAAAUUGAGUAGUUACAUGUUUUCUUUGAUGCAAACUCACAAAGAUCUCAUAAAUGAAAGAGAUUUUAACACCAAUAUUAUGUAUCAUUACUCGAUCCUCAUGUUUGUAGACAUUUUCAGCUCACCAAGAAUGCCUCGACGUCUCGUAAAUACGAAUAAAGGAUUCUUAACCUGCUUCUUACCAUUAUUUUGAAAUCACAUAAGGUAUCCUAUUGUCCGUUGAUCAUGCAAAUUGAAAAGGAAAUUCUCUAUUAUAUUUUAUUGAAUAUAUUGGUAGUGUAUUUAUACACAAAAUACAGUGAAAGAUAAUUCUAAACUAUGUACAUGAUAAAUACAAAAUAAAUAAGAACCUAAUCUAGUUAACUAAAUAGGAGUAUAUAGUUGGAGGGGAUAACGAUAAUGCUUUCUAAUAUUCAUCAAUAUCUUCAUCAAUGGAUUCUCCGCCAAUACCCCCUUUCAAAGGCAGUGUGGUUGAAUAAGGAAAAAUGCACAACUUUGAUCGAACCACGAAAAAUUGAAGUUUUGCAACCCCUUUUGUAAAAAUAUCUGCAAGUUGAAGCGAAGAGGGUACAAAACUCAGGUGGAGAACCCGACGUGCCACAAAUUCCCUAAUGAAGUGAUAAUCAAUGGCAAUAUGCUUCGAGUGGGACUUGGUGGCCGGGUUGGAAGCAAUAAACAUUGCACUCUUAUUAUCACAUAACAUAGUUGGAGGCGAGGAUAGCUUGAUAUGUAGCUCACGAAAAAGCUGAAGUGUCCAUGAAAGAUCAGCAACUAGAACAGCAAGUGCUCGAUAUUCUACCUCAGUACUGGAACGAGAAACAGAGGUCUGUUUCUUGGAACACAAAGAGAUGAGAUUCGAGCCAUAAUAGACCGCAAAACCUAUAGUAGAACGCCUAGUGUCUGGACAUCCUACCCAAUCUGCAUCAAAAUAACCAAGUAACGUAGAGGAAGAGUGUAUUGACAAUUGAAGGCUAAAGUGAUAGGUGCCUUUAAGAUAUCUGAGAAUACGUUUCAAGGCACGAAAAUGAUCUGUAGUAGGAGCAUGCAUAUAUUGACAAAUGGAGUUAAUGCUGUAAGAUAAAUCUGGGUGGGUAAGCGUCAAAUAUUGUAAAGCUCCAGCAAGAGACCGAAACUGUGGAGAAUCAGCAUGAGGCUCACCAGAUUCAGUGAGAUGAGAACCAACCAAAAAGGGGGUGGAAAUAGGCUUGCAAUCUUUCAUAUCAGCACGAUCCAGAAGGUUCGAUGCAUACUUAGAUUAGCUAAGAAAAAUCCCUUUAUCAUUUUGAAUUACCUCUAUGCCCAGAAAAUAAUGGAGAUCACCUAAAUCCUUCAUAGAAAAUUCUGUGGCAAGUUGAUCAAUAAGGGUACGAAUCAUUUUGGCAUUACUACUAGUAAUCACCAUAUCGUCGACAUAUAAUAGCAAAUAGAUGACACCAUGAGAGCCAUGAUAAACAAAUAGAGAUGAGUCGGCCUGACUAGCAAUAAAACCAAGGUGAAAUAAAAAGGAGCAGAACCUUUGGAACCAUGCCCUUGGAGCCUGUUUAAGACCAUAGAGAGCUCGUUGCAAGCGACAUACAUGAUUAGGAAAUUGAGUACUAACAUAACCAGGAGGUUGUUCCAUAUAAACUUCUUCUAAAAGAUGGUCAUGCAAGAAAGCAUUUUUAACAUUAAGCUGAUAAAGAGGCCAAUUAUGCAUAGCAGUAAGAGAAAUGAUUAUUCGAACCGUGGUAGGACGAAUGACCGGAAUAAAAGUCUCUUCAAAGUCAAUGCCAUGUUUACGAGAAAAUCCCUGUGCUACAAGAUGAGCUUUAUGGCGCUCUAUAGUACCAUCUGCACAAAGUUUAGUUUUAAAAAACCAACGACAACCCACAACAUUAUGAUUAGAAGGUCGAGGUACCAAUCGCCAGGUGUUAUUUUGCUUUAGAGUUGUUAUUUCAUCAUCCAUUGCAGUAAGCCAUUCCUGAUGUUUUAAGGCUGACUUAAAAUCUCUUGGCUCUUUAACAGUAAGAUGCACCUGAAACCAUGGAGGAGCUGACAAAGCAAUUAACGAAUGAAUAGUAUGAGGCUUAACAAUACCAUUCCUUAAACGAGUAAUCAUAGGAUGUGGGAUUGGUGGCGGUCGUGAAAAGGAAGAAGUGGGUGGAUUAACACUUGAAAUAGUCACAAGCUCGGAUGGAGGAGCGUCAGAUGUUGCUGAAGGAGGCACAUACUCAAAAAGAGAAUGAGAAGUACAAUUAUGGUCAGCACAUGGGAGACACCGAGAAGAUGCCUUGUGAUGCUUCGAAGCCAUAUCUGUAGGAUCAAGAAGUGGGUGGAUUAACACUUGAAAUAGUCACAAGCUUGGAUGGAGGAGCAUCAGAUGUUGCUGAAGGAGGCACAGACUCAAGAAGAGAAUGAGAAGUACAAUUAUGGUUAGCACAUGGGAGACACGGAGAAGAUGCCUUGUGAUGCUUCGAAGCCAUAUCUGUAGGAUCAACGUGUUCACAAGAUAAAGAAGGAUCAAUAGGAUCCAAAAAGGUGACAAAAUCAGUGGAGAACAAACACUAAUUAUUUUAAUUUGUUUUAGAUUCAUUUAAUAGAUCAUAUUUUCAUUGGGGUUAUAUCAUUCUAGAAUGUUGUUGACUCUGGUAUCUGCAUUCCUUAAUUUACGACUUUGAUAAUUGCUAACAUUCUACUAAAGCGUGCAUUCUUACAUGAUUCUUGUCCAUAUCAUAUGAAAGGUAAACAGGUGAGAAUAUGCAUCAGUUUCCAGCUUUCACUUAGAUUGAACUACAAAGUUGCAACUCUUAAACCAGUGCUAACUAAACAUGUUAUUCCUUUCCCUACUCGGCAUUGUAGAUAUGAAUUAUUCACCAAAUAUGUUAUACACUUCUUAAGGAUCCAUUCUCAGGUAAUGCAACUUUUGAUGGAUUUCAGUUUGGUCAUAUAAUAAACUGCUUCUUGGACAAAUUUGCUAUGUGUUUAAUAUGUUAUAGCCACUGGUUGUCAUGAACGUGCAAAUUAAAUCUCUCUAAUUUAAGAUUAUCAGCAACCUUGCUUGUGCUGGAUGCAUUCUACCAUUUACCUUGACUAUUCAUUUAUUAUGGAUAUGAGUACAAAACAAAACUGUCAUAAUAGAACUAAUGUUUGAAUGUCGCAGUUUGCAGUUUUGAUCGUUCCCUGAUAAAUGCUCCAGGACCUUGUGUUCUCUUUGCUACUCCAGGGAUGAUUAGUGGGGGUUUCUCUCUUGAAGUUUUCAAGCAGUGGGCUCCAUAUGAAAGUAACCUUAUUACACUGCCAGGGUAUGGCUUUAUUUUGUUGAUUAAAAAAUUUCCAUUUUUUAUAUUAUUAAACUUUUAGGACUUUGUUAGGACUUUUCACGAACUGAUUGUGCUGAUAAAAUUGGAUUUCAUCAAAAAAAUAAUCUAAAUAUUACCUAUCUUGAAGCUUUACGAAGAAUUGAGCAACGUGUCUCUUUUGAUAAAUAAAAUAUAGAACCAGGAAACUAGUAAUAUACCUAAUUUUCUGUUAUUUUUCACUUUAUCUUUCACUUUGCUCACACUGGAUGGAAAUCAUCCAUUUCAUCAUUAAAAUGUGACGUGCAAAGCAUAUGAAACACUAGGUCAAAUAUAAAAUGGGUAAACACAAAUGGUUUUAAUGACACCUAAUAAACACAAAUAAACAAGGAAAUAUAAAGAAAAGAAAAAAAAAAGCACAAAUUUUCAUUCCCCCCUGGUGCCCCAACCAUAUGGUUUUUACCACCACUUCCUGGUUCGUCCUCUUCCCCCUGCAAGCAGAAGUCGGUGGGGGUUAGCAUGGGAGUCAGAGAGAUUUUGCCUUUUUCUUUUGUUAUUUUAUUUUCAUUUUCUUCUUCUCUUUUAUAUUUCCUUUUCAUUUAUUGUUAUUUUAAUAAAAGGGUAUGAUGGUCUUUUCAACAAAAAUGUGAUUUUGUAACAAAUAGGAUGGAUCGAAACUAUUCAUCAAGGACUAAGGUGGUACCGACUUCAAAAUAUUUAAAUGUUAUGAGCUUUUAGAUGAGGUGGUUCAACAUUACAUUAGAAUACACAAUGGUCUUGAGUGUGAAAUUCUUUACAUGUGUUUGCUUUUUUGAAUUACAUUAAUCCUUCUGUGUAUUGUUUAAUUAGGUAUUGUGUUGCUGGAACUAUAGGACAUAAACUGAUGUCAGCUAAAACACCUGUUCGAAUUAAUAUCGACAAGGAUACCCAAAUUGACGUGCGGUGUCAGGUUCUUAUACCCCCUCUAUAUAUUUUGGUCCGUGUGUGGAUAUAUUUUGCUUAAGAUAUUCGAACCAUUAACUGAUGGCUUCUCAUGGUCAGUUGAUUGCUCGCUGACAUAGAUAUUUUGUUAGUAACCUAAGACCUGCAUCACUUUUGUACAUGUGCUAGGAUAUUGUGUUGCAGUGCUCCACAUAAUAUUCCAUGUGAAAUGAAAACCUUUGAAGUUAAUAUUCUUCUUUGAAAUUGUCAAUCUUCGGUUUAAAAAUCAAUUAAUUUUUGUUGGCGUUUGUUGAAAAAGAUGUUACUUGCAUCCCAGUGCCGUACUUAGUAGUUAGUUAAGGUAAAUAACAAUAAUCGACUUUGUAUUUGGGGAAAUCUUGAAUAGACUUUGUUCUAGGAUUUUGUUUAAUUGUUAGAAAUCUGAUUCUCAUAGUUGUGGACUUCUUUAAAAUGACCCACUUUAUUGCAUGUUCCAAAACUAUUUAUUUUUACCAUGUUGCUAAAUUGUUACCAAGGAUAUUGGUUCCAUUUAACCAUUAUUUGUGACCCAAUGUCAAGUUUUAGUUAUUUUUGAUAAAAACAUCAAAAUUGUUUACAAUCACUUUGAAUUAUUUAUUUGCUUUUCACCCUCAAACUAAUCGUAAAAAAUGAAGCUGCUAAUAAUAGUCUUGGAGAUUUGGUCAAUUUGUUGCUGUUUAGAAUUUGGCUCAUAUAACCUGAGACUGAUCACGCAUUGCCUUAUUUAAAUGACCUGAAGUCUAAACAGCAAGCUUGUUGAAUUUUUUCCACAAAGUUGUACGCGUGUGUAUUCAAAGUGGCAACAACUGACUGCUUUUGCUGUGAUUUUCUUCUGGUUCUGUCAUAAAUAUUUUACUUUUUUUAUAUAUAUACACCUAACUUUAUCCAUCAUUUUUCUAGAUUCAUCAGUUGUCUUUUAGUCCUCAUACUGAUGCCAAAGGAAUCCUGGAUCUUGUGAAAUUUCUAUCCCCCAAGAAUGUGAUUCUUGUACAUGGAGAAAAGCCUAAAAUAGCUAAACUGAAAGAAAAAGUUCAAUCUGAGUUGGGAAUCCAAUGUUUCGACCCUGCUAAUAAUGAAACUGUGAGCAUUCCUUUUACGACUCACUAUGAAAAAGUUGGUGCCUCUGAUGCACUUUUGCGGAGUACCUUGAGCCCAAACUUGAAGUUCUUAAGAAAAUGCUCAGAACAGGGUUCUGAUUUUAGUGAUCUUGACGCAAGAACAAAACCAGGGUUGCAGGUUUUCGAUGACAGAAUGGCCGAAGGGAUACUAAUGGUACAGAGAAACCAAAAAACAAAAGCUUUACAUCAAGAUGAACUCAUGGCUAUGUUAGGAGUAGAAAGUCAUGAAAUCAAGUUUGCUAACUGUUGCCCAGUAGACAUUGCGAAUUCAGAUACAAGAAAUGCAUUUCUUUCUCAACCAACAGUCGACAAAUCCUUUUGGCUGCACUUAUUGUUUGAAAAGCUUUCGAGCAAAUUCCCGGAGACGAGCAUCCAGGAUUGUGGUGAACAUCUUCAAAUCGAGUCAUUUUAUGUCUCUGUUUGUACAAAAGAAAUGUGCCCUCACAGAACUGCUAGUUUGCAAUGCAUGCCUGAAACAGUGUAUUUCUGCUGCACCUGGACAAUAGCAGAUGAAAAGCUUGCUUGGGAGAUCAUUUCAGUUAUAAAAAAUUUAUUGUUGAAAGAGGAGUAAAUGUUUAUCAACUAUUUCUUGAGUUAUUUCAAUAAAUUAUGUACAAUUUACAGUUCCCUGUUAGAUUCGGUCAAUUUAUGACUUGAGUGACAGUUUUGAUCAUUGUUUGAUUUAAUCGGGGGCUGCCCUACCUAUAUUAUUGAGAAUGUCACUAUAUUUUUAGUCUAUGUUAUGUGACAUUUUAUCUUACAGGAGCAAUAAUAUCUUUUACAUUUAGUCAACUCGGUUUUUCUUUUUCUUUCUUUCUUUCCUUUUUUUUUUUUUUUUUUUGGGUUUUUUUUUUUAUAUUUUUUUUUUUUUCUUUUUUUUUUUUUUUUUUUGGGGAUGUAUAUCUUACAUGUCUUUUAACUUUUAAGAAUCUUGCUGCAGUUAAAGGUGUAAAGAGAGUUGGACGUAUAUAAAAAGGUUGAACCCUAACUUUAAGGGUCCUUCACUGCCCCUACCCUGGAGCAUCGUGAGGGAGGUAAAUCGCAGGUUAUGCUUCCAAGGGUACAGGGUGGAAGGCUGCUUGUACACUUGUAUUUACCUAAGAGCCAAAUUCAUAUUUCAGGAUUCGAACUCUUGACGCGGCAGCCUUAAGCAAAAUUGGAUUUCUCCACCCUUUCCUUUUACCACUUGGAGAUGUGUCCUGAGGGCAGAGUUGGACGUAUAUGAUUGCAUGGUAUGGGGAAAAAGCCUUUUUUCCAUGUGCAAUUAUGUUCAAGACUCUAGCAGAUACAGGGGAAAGGAAAAUUCUACUCAAACAGGGGCUGUCUGAGGUGUCAGCUCCUCAGCCCCUGAUCUGAAUUUUAAAUCCCUGUUACUGUAGUGCUUCUCAGGGGGAAAACAUAAGUGGUAUGCUUAGAGCAACCCUUAACAAAAUUAAAAGAAAUAAAAAAUUUACUCACAUGAUAUUGUUUGAUAUUGUGUAUUAAACAUGAUUUGCUUUAGGUUAAUGAAAUGUGACGUAGAUGUCUUGAAGAAUCUUAUUUAUUUAUUUUAAAUUAAAACAAUCUAUAAUUACAGCUUUUUAAAAUAACUAAGCCCCAGUUUAUAAAAAUCUGAUUUUAAUCUCAAACAAAUAGGAGCAUUUUUGGUAAAAUUCUCACAAUUCUUAAAAAAACAGUAUUUUAUAAAAUAAAAAUAUAAAAUACGCAGCUCAAUUUAUGCACAUAGGCACUAAAACUCCGUCCAUGGGAAGAACUUCCCUUAUCCACUGUCAAUGUGAGUAUGGUGCAUUCAUUAUUUUUUGUCAAAGAUUUUUACAGAUGAUGAGGUUGCGAAAAUGGUUUGAAGUUCUUUAUCCAAUUGUCAACGAAAUUCUACCAAAUGUAAUUUAUUUAUUUAUUUUAAAUUACAUGGAUUUUUUACGUAUAAAGUAAUUUUGUUCUUUACAAGCGAUUUUUUACUUAAAGUAUAUUUUAGUUAUACUUUCUCAUAUUAUUAGUUACGAAACUUACCAGAUAAAUAUUAUUAAGAUAUUAUCACCACCAAUGAAAAUUAUAAAAUAAAUAUAUAUAAGAUUUAUAUUGGUUUAAUUGAUCUUCCAAACGGGAGUACCCUAAACAGUAAUAUAUAGAUAAAUAUGGUCUUAAAGUCUGCAAAAUUUACUAAAGCCUGUAUUUCAUUUCUUUAAUUUGUAACCUUUUCAUUUCUCUUUAAUUUGUUACAGCAUCUUUUGCCAGCAAAAGCCAACAGACAAUUUUCCCAUCUUCCAAUGCACUUUUUUUUUUUUUUAAAUGAAAUAAUUAUAUGCUAUUUCUUGAAUUAAUUUUCACAUUCCCAAUACUUUAUAAGAAAAGCAAAGUAAAAUUUCAAUGCUGUUUCUUAUUCCUUUUUUAACUUUUAUAAAGUUGCUCAUCUUAACAAUGAAAUUCCACUCCCAAGACGACAAAUCUUCCCAAAAGAGAGAAAAUCAUUAAAGGUCCAUUUGGCAUGAUUUUUAUUUCUUGAAGAAGAACUUUAUGAAGAAAUUUUUUUAGGAUCCGUUUGACAUGACUUUAGAGAAAUUAAAAUGAGUUUUUAAAAUUCAAAAACUGUUUUAAACCCGCUUGAUUUAUUGUACAAAAUUAAUUCUCAUAAUUAGAAUAGUUUUUAAAAGAUACUUGUUCAAUGUAAUUUUCUCUAAAAACUUUUUAAAAAGACAGCUUUUAAAAAUUAGUAUCCAAAGAUGAAUUAAAAAGUUUUCUUAUAAAACUAUUCUACAAGAAACACAAAUGAAGCUUUAACUUUCUAUAGCUAUACAAAGCAUUUUCGAAAAAUUAUCCAAACAUUUUCAAAAAAAACUUUUUAAUCUCAAUAAAUAAUUUUUGACUUUUUAAAAGUCAUACCAAAUACACCCUAACUCAAACUACGGAAACACUUAUAAUUAUGCAUUCCACAAAAAAACAAGAUCUACUAGACUAGAACACAUUAAAUUUAGCUUAAAAAUAAGAAAAGAAGCCCAAAAUAACUUUUUUUAAGACAAGAUUAAGAGAAGUUAAUUGUCCAAUAAUCACUAACUUAGGUUGAUAUUUUAGAUUAUUAAUUACAUUUUCAAAUGUCGGGUUUUGGCACUAAAAUUUUCAAAAUGUUGGACUUUACUAACUGGAAUGACUUCCAUUUUGCCAUUGUAACCAAAUAGUUGACAUGGCAAAUGGAUUGAACAAUUGACAUUCAACCAAUAUUCAAUCACAGAGAAAUGUAUUUUUGAUUGCCCAUUGUAUUUUGUAUACCAAAUACUACAUUAUAAGUUAAAUUUUAUGCUUAGGCCAAAGUAAUAAGAGAUUUUUAGAAAACAAUGUCCCUAAGAACAUUUUGCAUCAAUUGCCGCUCCAUUCAUUUACAACAACAUUAUCAGUCACUCACUCUCAAUCACAACCUAAAUUAAAAUUAACCAAACUACAAGGACUAAAAAAUUAAAUUACAAAUGGAAACAACAAUUAGCAGUAAAGCCCCUGAACUAGUUGUUUUAUUGUAAUCAAGCCCCUACCGGAGCAGCUACGGCUGGCUUCACUUUCGGUGGUCUUCCUCGGCCUCUUGGCACCCCACUUGCUGCUCCAACUGCGGUAGAAGGUGGCGGAGGCGGAGGAAUACCGGUUUUCGUAAACUUUGGCGGCCGUCCACGUUUCUUGCCAGAAGCAGUCGGGCUCGGAGCAGCUUUCGGCUUAGGCGGCGGCGGCGGAUCAUUUGGAUCCCUGGAUUUGGGCGGGCGGCCACGGGGGCGAGGAGGAGGAAGAACGGUGCCGGGUGGAAGAGGAGUCUUCGGCUUCGGAGGACGGCCACGGCCACGUCGCGGCGGAGCAUCUGGGCCCGGCUUCAUGUAGUUGUUCUUCACAAAUAGGAGCUGCCCGGUAGCCUUCAUCUUGUUGAGGUGAUGAGAAAGAAGAGUUGAAUGGGCCGGUGGUAGAUUUCCAUAGGUGACCUCAAUCUGCUUUGAAAUUGCUGAUUUGUUAGAGCCAUCCUUAUCAUUCAACGCCUCGAUCGCAUUCAUAAUCAA